AUGAUGGAUAGGACAAGUACAUCUACCAACCCACUCUUCAUCGAGCAAGACGACGACAUGACCUCCUACGUCACAAAGAGUCACCUCUUUUGUGCACAACGUGCUUUGCAUCAAGAGCCACAAGCAAUGAGAAAACACAUCGACAAUCUCGCCACCGACUUGCGACUCUCCGAGCAACGUACAAGAGACUAUUUUGACAACAAGCUUGACAACCACAAGCAAGAGAAUGAUGCAAGAAUGGACGAGAUUUGUGCUUUGUUGCUCAACCGCUCUUCUUCCAGUUCGUCCUCCUCCAGACGGAGUUGCUCAAGUCAGCACUCCGACUACACCAUCUCCGGCUCAAGUACACCGACAUCGAAUACUCUUCGACGUGCCGCGCGCCAAGAUUGUCAAGCAAACCGCAACCCUCUACACGACAACGACUCUCAAGAGCAACGACACUGA
rnacentral:rRNA from 1 species